rnacentral:misc_RNA from 1 species
AGGGAUCAUUACAAGAACGCCCGGGCUUCGGCCUGGUUAUUCAUAACCCUUUGUUGUCCGACUCUGUUGCCUCCGGGGCGACCCUGCCUUCGGGCGGGGGCUCCGGGUGGACACUUCAAACUCUUGCGUAACUUUGCAGUCUGAGUAAACUUAAUUAAUAAAUUAAAACUUUUAACAACGGAUCUCUUGGUUCUG